rnacentral:sRNA from 1 species
AUCAAACUCCGCCCUCUCAGAUCCCUCGCCAAGUCUGCUGACCCUGCGUUCUUCUUCUUCUCGAGACAGACUGACGGACGUCGCCGAUAGCUGUUAUUUACCUCACGGGAAGCUAAAGCCUGAUUUUUGUACGUAUAAUUAGGCGUACGGUACGACUCCUUUCUCCUCCCCUGCCCCCAGCGGUUUGUUUGGUUCAAUUUUUUUUUUUUCAGUUCAAGGACUGAAUUAAGAUUCAGAUCGUCUGUGCGAGUUGGAGCAUCAUGCGUACGCGCGAGCCAGAGACUUCCCCAUUCCCGUUCAAUUAUCGCGGCAAGCGUACCAAGUAAUAGAAGGCCGUCGGAAAUGCAUCUCUUGACAAAUAUGAAACAUAGCUCGAUAACCCCCCGAUGAAUUGUGGAUGAGAGAC